rnacentral:rRNA from 1 species
UAACACAUGCAAGUCGCGGGGCAGCAUGGGGGUUGCUUGCAAUCCCCGAUGGCGACCGGCGCACGGGUGAGUAACGCGUAUCCAACCUGCCCUUCACCACGGGAUAACCCGGCGAAAGUCGGACUAAUACCGUAUGUUGUCCAUUGACGGCAUCCGAUUUGGACGAAAGGCUUUGCGGUGAAGGAUGGGGAUGCGUCCGAUUAGCCAGACGGCGGGGUAACGGCCCACCGUGGCUACGAUCGGUAGGGGUUCUGAGAGGAAGGUCCCCCACACUGGAACUGAGACACGGUCCAGACUCCUACGGGAGGCAGCAGUGAGGAAUAUUGGUCAAUGGGCGGAAGCCUGAACCAGCCAAGUAGCGUGCAGGAUGACGGCCCUAUGGGUUGUAAACUGCUUUUAUGCGGGGAUAAAGUGGCCCACGUGUGGGUUUUUGCAGGUACCGCAUGAAUAAGGACCGGCUAAUUCCGUGCCAGCAGCCGCGGUAAUACGGAAGGUCCGGGCGUUAUCCGGAUUUAUUGGGUUUAAAGGGAGCGUAGGCCGCGCCUUAAGCGUGUUGUGAAAUCCGGGUGCUCAACAUCCGGCUUGCAGCGCGAACUGGGGCGCUUGAGUGCGCUGAAAGUAGGCGGAAUUCGUGGUGUAGCGGUGAAAUGCUUAGAUAUCACGAGGAACUCCGAUUGCGAAGGCAGCCUACUGUAGCGCUACUGACGCUGAUGCUCGAAAGCGUGGGUAUCGAACAGGAUUAGAUACCCUGGUAGUCCACGCGGUAAACGAUGGAUGCUCGUUGUCGGCCCCUUGGGUCGGUGACCAAGCGAAAGCGUUAAGCAUCCCACCUGGGGAGUACGCCGGCAACGGUGAAACUCAAAGGAAUUGACGGGGGCCCGCACA